rfam:Fibrella aestuarina BTZ 2 drat genome
CCAGCCAUGCCACUGGCUGUACGCUACGAAGACGUGCGGGUGGGUAACUGCCCGUACUAAGCAUUCGGACAACGUACCGAAAUCCACCUCAAUCGUGAGAGGAAGGUGGUUCCGUUAGCAUCAAACGGAAUAGGGC